CGGCUCCGCGCCCGCAGCCUCCCCAAGCCGGGGCUUCCCGCGACGCCUGCUGCAGCCACCUCGUCUCUGGCCCGCCGGCCGCCGGGAGGGAGGAGGAGGAGGAGAGAGGGAGGGAGGAGGGCGGCGAGGGAGAGGGGGCGGCGGGGAGGGAGAGAGGGUCCCGGGUGGGGGGAGGAGGGGCGAGCGCGGGCCGCGGCCAAGGGCUAGCGCGCGGGGAGGGCGCCGAGGGGCGGGGGCGGAGAGGGGGAGCACCCGCCGCGCCGGCCUGCCGCCCCCCCCCCCCCCGCCGCCGCCCAGUCACCAUCGCCGCCUCCGUCCCGCUCGGGGCCGGGCGUCCGGGGGGAGGGUCGGGCGCGGCGGUCCCCCGGCGCGGCGAGCGGGGCGGGCCGGCGGGCGGACGAGGCCCGGCCUCCGGAGGGGAGGGUCCUGCGGGCCCGGCGGGUGUUGGCGAAAGGGGAUCCCCGGGGGGAGGGGCGGAGGCCGGGGCCUGGGAGCCGCUCGCUGCGCCCGCCCGGCGGCGGUGCCUCCCGGAUCCAGCGAGGGUCCCCGGGCCGUGCCGGGAACCUCCGGGACGGGUGUCUCCGGAGCGCCGAGAGCGCGCACGGCCGGCGGGGUGGCGGGAGCGGCGAAGUCGGAGUCGGAGGGAGAGGCCCGGCUCCUCGGGCGGAGCGCGGGCCCCGGAGCGGUUCCCCAGGCUGGGCCCGAGCGCGAGAACGUCCGCCCGGUGGGCCCGGGGAAUCCAGAGCGGGCGGUGGGCUGGGGUGCCUGCACCCCCAUCCUCGCCUUCCUGUCCCGGAGAGGAGCCUCCGGCAUAAGUUUCCCUGUGCCGUGGGUCUCCAGGUGAGGAAACUCAGUGCGACGGUCACAAAGAAUAUUCGUGAAUAGAUUGCUUGGGGUCCUAAAACAUCCUCCCCUGCACUCAAAAUACGGUUUCGGGGUGAAUUUCGAAGGCGCUUUAGGCGACGGUCUAAAAAGCCAACCUCGUUUGGAGAGCAGACUCACUAACUCCCCACCACAGCGCCCAAGGAGGGAGCAACGACACGGUCAAAUGGCCACGAGUUAAGAAACAUGCUGAGUCGACCGUACUUCCUUCCAUACAUCUGUUGAGCUCUGAUUAUAUGCCAGGGACUGUUCUAGGCACUGGGGAUGCAUCAGUGAACAAAGAGAAGCACAGAAAUGCCUGCCUUCAUAGACUGUGCGUCCUCGAACGUGGCAACACAGGAUGAACUCAUUCAACAACUGUGACCUAUAUUCAUUUCAGAACAACCUUGGGAAGGUUUUCAAUGGAAACAAGAAUUAAGGACAAGGCCAAUCCAUGCAACUGAGAUUAGUUCUAACUUUUCUUCCAACAAAAUGCAUUGUACUAUGUGAAUUAUACAAAAUAAUGUUCAAUCACUUUUGAGGUCAUAUAAAUGAGAAUAACAUAAGCUCUGAAAUUAAAAUGAAC
rnacentral:lncRNA from 1 species